CCCAGCCCGUAACGGGGCGGGGCUGGUGCACGAGACAGGUCCUGGCAGCUGCAUACGCACUCGGGUCUCCGGCCGGACCUGUGUGUGCUUAACUGCUCACCGAGUCGUUAUCGGAUCAGCAAUGGCGCUUAACAAGCCCCUGCUACGAGGCUUGGCCGGAGUCCGCUCCCUGCUGCGAAGGAGUUCAUUGGGCCGCCUGUACAUCUGCCAGGAGCGGCAGCCUACACGAAGCACGAAGCACCCCUCUGAAGGCGCGAGGCAAAGUGACGAUUCUAACGGCUGGUUCUGCAGCCGCUGCGCGUGGGUGGCGGGCACGGCGCGAGCACUAACCCCAGCGCGCGCGGCUCCGCACUGCCCCCGCUAAGCGCCCUGCCCUACCCGCCGCUGCCACACCUGCGCCUAGUGCGCCUGCGAGGGCAGGGAGCUCCUAGUGCGCCUGGUAGCGGCCGCGCCCGCUCGCGCCGGCGGGGCGGGAGCGGAGCGGAGCCGCGCGCGGCGUCCGGGGUUCGAGGCCGGGGCGCGGGCAGCCGGGAGGCCCCGGGAAGCGGCGGCGCUUGCGGAACGGGCUACACGAGGGGUGAAGUACAGUGUUUUCUGUGGAGUGUCUGGAUUGCUUUAUUGCUUUUAAGUGUUCUCAAAAUCUGCUUCGUAUAAUGAUCCUGUAUUACAGCUUCAGCGAGUGACCUAGAAGGAAAUUUUUAAGUACCUGAUUUGGUACAUAAUGUAUAUAUUUUUAUAAGUGUGUGUGUAUACCAGGUGAUGUGUUGUACAAAGAUUCUGGAGGUAGUAAAAUACUGAAUCGCUUGGUAACCCCAUCUGUAAAAACGCUCAUGCUUCCUGGAAAAACAGAGGACCCGGAUCAUUUCCAGCCCGGACACUCUAGGCUAGAGUCCUUGGUUUUGACCUGGUCAAUAGGGAUUUGGAUCUGUGUCUAGCUCCUGAGGCCUGGCAGUGCCUAUGUCUGCCCCUUUCCCUCCGCUUGGCUCUGCGGGAUGCCUGGCGGUGGUGAGCCCCACGCACCUUUGCUCACCCCUUUUGGGCAAGGCUGAGACCCAGCCCACAGCCUCUGCAGGCCUUGCUCGUGGUUGCCAGGGUUCGUGGGGAUUCCCCUGACUCCUGAUAGCGCCAGGCAACUUCCCACAGAAAACAUAGUAUAUGUUGUUAAGUAAUGUCAGGGAGCCACGGGGCAGUAUCACGAGGGAUGCCACAUUUACCAUCACUUAGAAUGUCUAAAUCCACCUUAGAUAUCGUUGUAAACACUAUGUAUAUAUAUAAAAUGUAAUCUACUAGAAACUCUGAUAAUGAGUGUCAGCAGACAAAAUCUGUGACCAUGUAGGAAAUGUUUCCUUAAAGUGCCUCAGCCUUCAGAUAACAAUCACAAUAUUUUUUUUGUUUUGAUCAAAAAUGGAUAUUCCUUGGUAAGUUUGUGAGGAUUUUUUUUUCUUUUUUUUCCCAAACCCUGGGAGGGUGGUGGUUUAAACUCAUGUUUACAAAUGGAGGCAUCUUUUACUGUUGUGUUAGUAGCAGUUCUGCAUUGUGUAUUAACUUGCAGUGGUGAGAGCUUAACAAAUCCUGUUAUCUUGUAACAAUAAUUAUGUACUAGACAUCCUUAACUCAACUAUUUUGUAAAAUGACAUUGUGAACUUCAACCCUUUUCUUCUGUUUUUCAGAUUCUUUAGGUCUUCAAAUGGUGAAAGAGGACUCUCUGUUAACUUAAACUGAUAAAACCUUGACCCCCCCCAAACUUUCUUAAACAGUUUCACUUUUCAGCAUUCUUAAAUGUUUCACUUUUUCAAGAUGCAAGGUAACGUAUGCAUGCUGUGCACAAGCUUGUGAUACAGUCCUCCUUGCUCCAAGGAACGGCAUAUUAAUGGCUUAUAUUAAUGAGCUCCAAGGAAUGGCAUUAUACAAGUCAAAUUGAUGGGUUUGCCCCAGUCCACGGGUUUGCACCUUCUUCCAAACUCCUUGUCUCUAUUCUCUUUAUUGAAAGCAGAGCCUCAUGACCCAAAUUUUCUACUGUAGUAUCCUCAUCUCUCUAACCUCUGCAAGCCCCAGUUUCAUAUCCGUCCCUCUGCUUUGCUAGUGUUAUUUAUCCUUUUCAAAUCAUGGUAUUUUACUAUGGAACAAGCAGUCGUGCUGGUCAGCUGUAGAUUUCAGCUACCUCUGAAGGAAAGGGUCAAUGUCUAAUGUCUAAUUAGCACUGAACCAGUUACUCUGCAGCACUUGAUUGAGAGUGACAGUAAAUAAUUAUAGUUUAUUAGCUUUUUGUUCUGUAUGUGUAUUGGAACAGACAAAUUUGUCCAGGAUAGUUCUACUUAAUUUUUUCUACAUCUUUUUCUCAAAGUCUCCCCCACCCCCCCACCACCACUGUGUCUGCAUUGUUUCUUACUCUCUGUCAUUGUUCCACCCUUGCUUGUAGGUGUUGGCCAGCAUGCAGAUGAGCAGAGCUGUCAGCUACAAGGUGGUUAGUGCCUCACAGUGGUCAGGUAGUUGAGACUUAGUGGUACCAUCAUAUGCUGCAUGGCUUGGUGGCUGCAGAGCACAGACUGCUGCUUCAGGGGUUGGCAGCUGUUGUAGAAAGGAGCAGGCAAAACUCAAGUGUUUUUGUUUGUUUCUGCAGCAUAGCAUGGCAGAAAUGUUCUGUAUUUGUCUAAUAUCUUAACUGAUUCCACUUGCAGAGGUUAAAUUUAAAGCUUAAAUCGAUAGGUUUAUCUUAUUUUCUUUCAUCGUUUUGUUGUUCAUGCUCUCCCAUAGCAUGAGGAGGAACUGCAUCUCUUGAUUUGCUCUCUGGUGUCUGCUGAUCGAGGUUUGUUGGAGGAUGGGAUAUAUCUGUGACGUCUUUCUGCUAGAAACAUUGGGAACACAUGGCUGUGAGGUCAAUUCUGCCCUGACUGUAAUGAUGGCAGCUGCUUGGAGCUUUAGUUCUCAUUUCCAUCUGGGCCAAACGUGUGUGUCUUGCCAGUAGACUGCAUACGGUGGUGUAGAUGAGUCUUCAGUCCUGAGUGCCUGUGUCUCUGCCAUACAGGUUUGAUGGCUCAGUGAGAGCUUGCUCUGUGUGCGCUGCUGCAGUGCAAACGCAAAAGGCCAUAGCAGAAAAAUGGAAAUUACUCAGGAUUUUAGAAGAGGUUGGCAAAAAGGUGUAUUUUUUGGAAAGUGCAGGAAGACUGAAAGGGUUCAAGAUGACAGCUUCUGUUUUUGAAUUCGUUCUCCCUGGAAUCUCUUCAGAGUUUAAAACAUAGUAAGCUUCAGGCCAAAAUUCAAAAUACAUUAAUGUGUUUUUUCUCCUGUUGUAUUUUUGUGGUAAGUUUUAAUUUUCAUAUUUCAAAUAUUUCAGAUAUCUUACUGGCAUUGAAACAGGUUUUAUAGAACAGCAACAUUCUCAAACAGAAUCUGAUGGUUCCGGCUACUACUAAUGAUCUAUUUGGACAAAAGAAAGGGCACUACGACUUUAGGAACCGAGAAAGUUUAUAAACAGAAAUCACUGUAAGAAGAAAUAAGGAGUGAAAGUUUUGAUGAAAGAUGUGUCAGUCUUCUGAAAACACAGAGUGCUCUUCAAGGAAAACUUAACAAGUUGCUCAAACACCUGCUUGCUAUGAGGCAAACACUGAGCUGCAUAUUUGCCCCAGGACAGGAGUCUUGGGAGAGAGCUUACCACAUCCCCGCAGCAGCAGAUAAAUCAUGUGACUAGAUGUCAUCAGUCUCUGGAGGAAUGCGAUAGAGUUGCUUAUUUUGACACUUCUUGUGCCAUCUGUGCCGUGGGUAAGGAAAUAAGCUGUGGAGCCGGUGCUGGACCAGUUGGCAGCAGGUGGUCAGAAGAGUCUGGUAUUUCUGUUAACACUACUCAGGCUGCUCGGGAAGUGCAGGCCUGGUUUUGAGUUUUUUCCUGUCAGACUGCUGUGAAGUUGCCUAAAUGGCUCACACCUGGGUACAGGCAUCUCAGGAGGAGAACUGACACAAGCAGUGGAAAGCCUCAGUGCAGAAAUCUGUGUUGCAAGGUCUUGGAGAAAGAAGAGCAACCUUUGGUGUGGGAAUGCAUUUCUGAAGCUCAGCAAAUGCAAGGUGUAAAGCUGGUUUAAAUUUUUACAUCAGCUGUGAAUUUUACACAAUGCAUUUCAGCAGACCUGGAGAAAGGACCCAGAAGCCUUUGCCAUCUAUGCAGACCCACUAGGACAAGUCACAGCUCCUCCUGUGCCGAACUGUCCACACAUCAGAAGAGCUAAGGAGAUUUGAAGUAAAAAUGGAAGUAGAAUCAUGGUUGCUCUCUAAGAAAAUAGACCAGACACUGGAAGGGAUUUGCAAGUUGAGAUAGGAUCAUAAAGGUAAUAUUCUUCUAUAGAUGACUGCAGAAUUUUGAACUGGAGGCUUGUUUCAAUAUGAAACAAACUUCCAAAUAAAUACUAUAUUGAAAUAUUUGGGAAAAAAAUAAUUAAAUAAUCUUCUUUUACUCAUUUUCAAAUGACUUUCAGCUGGCAAGCCAGGAUCCUGGAAGCCUUGGGAAGCUGGGCAGCUAGCUUUCCCUUAGGUUCUCUGCUCCUCUCCAAAUAAACCAAUGGAAAUGGAGCAGGUUUCUUCCACUCUCCCUUGGAAGUGAGAGACCAGAUGUUGUCCUUUGUACUCUCCUCAGGAAAAUCGUCUGCUGGGGAAUUUCUGCCCAGGUCCCAUAGCGACCCAGGUAAUAUCUCAUCAAGAGCAUUUCAAAGUAGGCCAUGUCUUAACAACAGAAGGAUUGCCUGAUGUGUGACUCAUUCCUUUUGGGAAAAGUGGGAUUCUCUAUGAAAGGAUGUUUUCAAGGCUUACUAGGUAUAUUAAACCCGAAGUUAUGAAUGCCUAUUUAAAGCAAGCCACUGAACCUUUUUGAUGUGAUUGUGUAUUUGCUAGUUCUGAAACUGCAUUAUAUAACAGAACACAAAAAGCUGCAAGUGGAACAAGAAGUCAAAGCAGGGCAAGUAUUGUCUGCCCUGAUAAAGUAUCCUUGUCCUCCUUCUAUUGAAAAUUAUUUUCAGUAUAAGUCUUGCCUAACUGGUUCCAGAUCUUACUAGUAACUAGAGAGACUAGUGGGCCCAACUAUAGACAUGCAGGGCUUGGUGGCAGUGUAUGCUCAGACUAAACUAAAGCAGCGUUGGAAGCUGUUGAGAAUACUAUCACUGCAAAAGCUGAGGGGAGUGAAAAAGGCUAUGAGGAGAGAUAGAGGGCCUAGCUGAGACCAAAGCACUCACAAGGAUGUGUGCUUUGGGGACACAUAAGUGUCCUUCUCAUGUUGCUUUCUCAUAAGGACCAAACAGGACGAUAUAAAUCAAAAGUAUUUGAUUAAUAUUAACAUGCAAGCUUUGCAUAUUUAUCUCAACCCAAAAGUUGAACAUUUUCAUCUUAAUUGCACACUAGCUGUCAUAAGUUGAUGACUGUGGAACAGUGAUUUUCUUAGUCUUGUCCAACACCUGCUUUCAAGUUCCAGCAUUGUUUUUCAGUACAAUGUGAGUAUAAACAUUUCUGUAGAAAUCUGAAAUAAGAAGUUUAAACCUUGUGAUGUUUAAACCUUCUAAUGUCAAUAAUGGGUUUCAAGACAAAUUUAAUGCUCUGACUUUUUACCUGUAUGUCUUGAUCUUAUUUUUUUUUUAAAUAUAACUCACUUUGAACAGUGGAUAUCUUUUAUGUAGAUAUCCUUAAACCAGCAAAGCUAGACACUUACCCAUUUUACCUCUAGUCGUAAAUAACAGCUCUGCUAAUCCUCUAUACAGACAGUAAGCAUUCACAUGUGAGCUUUUAAAAUAAGUCUGUACUGCUUUUACUACUUUGAAGAAAAUGAUGAUUUAAUAUCAAAAAUAGAAAUUCUACCAUCUCGACUUACUGUAAUAGAAACACUGUUUGCUUCAGUAGUUUUAAUUAGAGAUGGUUAAAACAUUUCUAAUUCACAGCGGGUUCACUGAAAAAUAGUGUUUUGUCAAAGCACAAAAUAUUUUGAUGAGACUUACAGCUUUUAGGAUACUUUUCAUUAGGAAUUAUUUUCUAGGACUGUCUAAUCAUGUCUGUCCAAAGAGAAAGGAAGAACUGGAGACAGACAGUUAAAAAAAAUACUAUGAAACCUUCAGAGCAAACAUUUUGACAUGACGAUGCGUUCUGAAAAUGUUCAAAGGGUUUCGUUACCAUCCUUUUGUGGAACAAAACCAAUUCAGAAGCCUUGAAUGUUGCCAUACAAUGGAUUUGUUAUCCCAUGUGAAGCUCUGUUUUCAAGGUAAUGGAGAUAAGCAAUAGGCCUCUCUAAUUCACCAUUAUGACUGGCAGUCUUUGCAAAUUACACAAAUUAUCAUCUACACAAUAAAAUGGCAAUGGUAAUGCGCCAUGAUAUGCACUUUGUUUAUUUGUUUAGCAAAUUUAAUCUGGUUUUAAUUAUGUAUGAUAGCACUCCAUAAUAGACUAAUAAAUGCCCCCUAGCAUGUCUUAUGAAAAUAAUAAAGCGUAGGUGAUCUAGCUCUUUACAUCUUUUUUCUGACCUGCCUCUGAAUAUUAUUUAGUGAAUUCUGAAACUUGUAAUCAAACUUCAUGCAAUCUUUCAAAUGAAAUGAAAUCAGGUUUAACAGGUUUUGGAGGGUUUGGCCUGUGGUUUAUCAUCGCAGUUUCUUCUAUUUCAAGAAAGUUUAAUUUCACUGUUUUUUCUGUGUGCAAUUGAAAGCUCAUGUAACUCCAGAUGCCUGCAGCCAAGCUAUCUGCUUCCUUGUUUUGAACUUGCUUUUGGAGUUAAUGCGGGAAUCGUAGUGAACCAAGAAAAAUUAGAAGUGGCUAUGAAAUUGUUAACAGAAAAUGGCAUAGAGCUUUCCAGCCUAUUUCACACUAUUCUAACACCAAACCUGGCAGAGAAUUUUAAGUAAAGACUGGGCUUUGGAUAAACAGCAAUGCUGAAAAUCAUGAAUGCAAUGCUGGGUUUUGCCUGCAUUAUCCUCAAGGUACUGUCGUAUGUAGUCCAUAACUGCAGUGUUUUCAAAGUCACCCUACAGACACACAAGGUGUUAGCACUGCAGGUACUGAGCCUAGCAAGGUUCCCCUCAUGAUCUUUGAAAUAUCCAGAACUUCUCUCUUUUUCAGUAGUGUAUGCCACCAUUUAAUUUGGUAGCAUACAUGUUAGCUUCCCCACGGAUAACGACCUACUAGCUUGCCUUUCUCUUUGUACCACAGGCAAACUAGCCUGAGUUCAUCUUUGACAUCGACUAAAGCAGUAUCACAUGGAAGAGAGGGUGGAGGGUGAAGAAGAGUUACCAAAACACUGCUGAUGCAGUCAAGCGAAUGCCUAUAUGACUGGGAUUCAAAGAAUUUGGUGUGCUGGCUGAAUCAUCAGUUUCUCCCACAGUGAUGGCUAUCACAAUGCAGGUUUUCUGAACUAUUACAACACUGCCUCACAACCAAAGCAGAGUCCUCAGCUGGAGCAUACAGCUAGACUAAGACAUUAUUACUACUUGAAAGAUCAUUAAAACAAAACUCUCCACACUGAAAUUUGACCUACCAAGAAAAACAGCUCUUAAGGAUUUAUGAGGUCGUGAGCCAACGUGAACAGAAAAUAUGCCAGCAGAGGCACAACAUGAAGAGUGAGGUUUGAGCUUCCCUGUUAUUCUUUAACCGCAACCUGAAGUGACCACCUGUAGAGAUCAGAGACUUCAUUACAGCUUCCUCUGCCCCUGCUCAGCUCUUCUGAUGAAGAUGGGGUGGUUAAAUUGUCACCCUUCUUUGAGGAGGAUAAUGCCGAUGUCACAACUAACCUGAACUUCCCUUCUACAAAGAUGCUUUAGCACCUUUCUCUAAAUCCUGUUUAAAACUCCCCUCCGCUGUGAUGCCUACAGAGCUUGGCACCUGGUUGGCAGCUGCUGGGCUUGGGCUGACUAUUGUGUUGGUAUUCCUUCGCAAAUGUUAUUUACCUCUUAUCUUUCAGUGUCAGUACUGUGGGGAAAGGAUCAUCCUUUGGUUCUGCGUCUGAAAGCACCUGGUCCACAAUUUGGACCCAGCAGAUUGGUGCAGCAGCCCUGGCUAAUGGACACAGUUCACAACAGUUGUGCCAGCCCCCGGGGAGUCCAGGAAAUGGGAAAAAGCCCUGGCAGAUUUGUCAUGUGUGUGCAUGCGUGGGUGAAUGCUUCCCAGCCUAAUCUAACAACUGCAAGGAGAAUUUCACACUGAGGCUUCUGGCUCUUCUGCUGAUGAAUGAGGCUUUGUACAGUUCAGUGGUUCCCAAGUGUGGUUUGAGGAGCUCUUCCAAGCAGUCUGCACAGCUGCUUUUGUCAGAGGGGGAGGGAGCAUCUGCCGAUUUAAAAGCAUUUCUUCCAGUUACAGCUGAGUCUGAGCAUUGCUUAGAUUUUUCACAGCAUUUUAAAAGGACUUUUUUCAGUAUAAGAUGCUCCUCCACGAAUGUCUUUUGUUCUUGCCUUGUGUGCUUGUGUGUGCAUUUGGUUUAGAUUCAGUGGUUUUGUGCUGUAACACGUGGCUCAAACUAGCACUUGAAGGGGCAGGUAUCAAAGAAGAGAUACAAAAUGCCAAAAAUGCUGGAAAAAUUAAAAGCCACAAAGAGGACAGAAUAUACUAAAAUCUUUCACUAGAGAUGUUACAUCCUAUUUGCAGAAAAGAAAAUAGCUGUAGAAGUCAGAGGCUGAGCUGUGUGAAAGACCAUAAUCAGUACACACACAAAAUUCAGUUUGAUUUUUUUUUUUUUUUAACACUGUCCCAGUGUUUUGCAUUUAUCCAAGCGUGGUAUAUGCUACAGGGAGACAUUCCAAAGGAUCUUGUGGUACAAGGAAAGAAGACAUUUAUUUUUAGUGAUCUUACACACUACAUAUACAUAUGUAUACAUAGUAUAUGCAUACAUAUAUGCAGACAUGUGUAGGCAUGCAUAGUUCAGUUGGAGAAUCUCUGAUUUAGUUGCAUGAUAUUACCGGGUCCAGGAAUGCCAAGGCUUGCUCUUUGCUUGCCGGGACUGUCACUUCUUAGCAGGUUACCAUCAUGGUAGUUCCUUGGCGGGGGGGGGGGAAAGGUGUCCUUGCAAGUUUUUGAAACAAGUUGAAGUUUGUAGUCACUGUGGUAACUUAAGUCAAGUUAAGGUACUUUAAGAAAAGCAACUUUGAGCAGAGUUGUUCUUGUCCUCACUUUCUCUUUCUACACCAUGGGACACUUGGCUUCUUAGUGAGAUUAAAAUGCAAUAUAAUAUUUAGAAUCUGCUGGUUUCGGUACAAAUUUGAUUCAAAGCAUAUUUGUACAAGGUCAAAACGCUUUUAAGUUUUCUAGAUGCUAAAAGCCUAAUUCAAAACACAGUGAAAUCAAUUGGACUCUUUCCACUGACUUCAAUGGAUUUUGGAUCAAGCGCUAAUUUACAUAAAAUGAAGUACUUUCUUAUGCCCCAGAGCAUUACAUAACUUGAGAAGCACUUUCUGGAGAAGGGUGUGCUCACCUUCCUCUGAAUUGUCAGGUGUUAGCUGUUACCAGGAUCAGCUCUGAUGGCUCAAUCACAUAAUGCUUUGCUGGAAACCCUGUUUCAAAUCAUUUUUUCAAGUCUCAAGUUGGAUAGCGUUAUGGCAGCUAAUCUUCUUUUCCAAAAACAGAACUAAAACCUACACAUCCAUGUCUUCAGGAAAAGAUGUUCUUAAUAUCAGAAACUUCAUGUGUAAUAUGUAUUUUUAUAUAUAUAUGUAUCAUACAUAUACAUGUACUUAUUUUACCUUUCUCUGUCUAUGGAUGACAUUAUUCAUAUUUAGUUCUAGUUCUGCAGCAGUCUGAAGUGCUGUGCAGCAAACAACAUACUGUAUGCCCUGGCCAGAAAAAGUGGUCAGAAUCCUACUUACAGAUAUUACAUCAUUAACUACCUUGCAGGCUACUGUGAGCAGAACAGUAUAGCAAUUGCGUUGACAGAGUAAGGUAAUUUUAUAAUAUCACUGCUAAUUAAUACAGUAUUAUGACUUAAUUCAGGAAUUAGUCUAACAAUUCGUGUUGUGUCAUAUUCUGAGUAAUGCAAAUUAAUUGCACUGCUUUUUUGUUUAUAUUCUCUUCUACCUUCAAGAAUGACUUGCUACUGAAAGUGUAUGUUGCUAAGCAAGUAUUCAGUAAGAAAAAUGCAGUAAGAAGGUCCAGUCCAUUAAGAGAACAAUUUCAAUAUAGCUUCAGCGAGUGAGUUGAAAUGCCUCCUUUUAACUACUCCUACACAGAGGAACAGGCUUAAUAACUAGCAACGUGGCUGUCAAAUUCCUUCUCUAACAAUUGGCCAGUUACAUAUCAAAGCUGAAGUUUCACCUCACAUUUUGUCGUAUUCAAACAUACAACAAACCUACCCACUUAGCUUAAUAUAAUGUUAGAUGUUACAGAUUUUCUUACCCAGGCAAACUUAAGAGAAGCUGUGUUGUCAGUGGGAACGAGGCAUGAAUCUAGGAGAUUCUUGGAUUCCCUGUCUCUGCAACUACUCUGAUGCUUCAGAAAACUCCAUUUCAUUUAUGUUGGAGACCACUGCAGCAGAUAAUGCCACACUGCACCAAGGACUGAAGUUCAUUCUUAGCCCUAGCAAUGCUUGCUUUUGUCAUAUGGCAUUAACACUUAUGUCAUGUGGCUUUUCACACUUAGCACUGAAAAGCAAUUAUCAAAACAUCAAUGCAAAGUGUCAGUGGAGAUUUUUGCAUCGAAUCUUAGAAACCGUCUUAUGCCAGUUCUGUUAAACACCAAGUUUGGUGGGAUUUUUAAUACAAGACAGGUGACAAAAAUCUCUAUGAGAGAUCAGGUCUCUGCAAGGAGCAGUUCAGUCUCUAGGGCAUAAAAAGUGCUCACUAAUAUAACCAAACAUCAUUUAUGACAGCUGUGUGCGUCUGCUAAAAUAAGAGCAUUAGAAAUAUUAUGUGGUAGAAGGGUGUAAUCUAUGAUAUGAUGGAGGAAAUACACAAGUGAAGUCUAUAUUAACUGUCGUUCAAUUAUCUAUGAGACUAACUAGAACAAGUUUCUUCAGUAUAUUGGCCAAGCAGCCCCCUGGAGAAGGUCGGUCUGCUAGCUGUGAUGUAUAUUCUUUCCCAUUGUGGGGACCGUAGUAGCCAGAAGGCUUCAUUCCUUACACAGCAACUUAUUUUUAAAGUUUUUAUCACUUACUGACUACAACAGGCUGUUCAUAUGUAUGUGUAGUGUCUGAGAAAUGUGUUUCAAAAUAUGGCCUUAAGCACUUUGCAGACACUUUCAGACUUGUAAAAUAGAGAAUUUCCUCAUCUAUCAACAACUCUCUCAAGCUCUCCAUCCUCAUACCUUUAGGGAGCUUUUCCUGUAACAGCUUGAAUACAUGAAAAACUGCUACUAGGGCAUGGGACACAAGGAAAACAAACUGCUAUACCUAUAACUGCUUUGUUUUAGCCCUGAUUUACCUCAACUAGCAUGAAUAAGGAUGACACAACUGGUCCUAGAAAUCAAUGGCUGUGUGUGAAGAAUGAAAUGAACCAUUACUCAGCAUUAGUCAACAAAACAUGAUUUCCUUAAUCACACUGUCCCAGUGUCUUGUUUUCUUCGUAUUUUUUACUUCAGUUGGAAAAAUCCAUAGCAGUAUAAUAUUAUUAGAUCCUAAGAAAAAGGAAAGAUGCCAUAUGACCUCUAGUGAAGUACCUUAUCAGGUAAGCUAUUUAUGGGGUUAACUGGUGAAAACAGCAUUACUGACAUCUGAUACCACAAAGCUUCACAGUACUUUGCAGGUCAGCAUGAGCAAAUUCUGCCUUUGCAUAGAGCUGGCCAGAUGUCAACCAGAGCCAAAGAAGAAACUGCGUCCGCGGGUGGCUGGCAUGACAUGGAUCCUGAGAGGAUAAGCCUCUCUCGGGUAGGUUAUGGGGAGUAGUCCAGGCAAAGCCCUGCACUAAUACAGCUGCAUGGCUUCUGGCACGCAGGGUGAACAGGCAGAGUAAGCCUGUAUCAGCCUAUACAGAGCUGACACGCGUGGACGUCGCCUCGCUGUGACACCAUCCAAAGUCAAGCCUUAUGUCAAAGAGGGCUUCAGGGAAGACAAGUAGCUGCACAACUUUACUCUUAUCAAAGUGUUAUGGUUCUGCUAGAGCAGUACAAAAUUAAAAGGAGGUAGGCGCUGCCUGUUAAUAGAGGAAAAAGCAUGAGUCUUUCAUGGAGAGCUUUGAAGCAAGAGCAAGCAAGAGGCAAGAUAUGUUCUUACAGCCACAGCUCUUCUAAUGAAUAGUGACUGUCUUACAGAAAAAGCCAAAGGUUUUCUUGCUAGGUUGUGGCAAUUUACAUUCAUUCUAACUCUUAAUGAAGCCCAUAUUUUUGUUUGUUUUCUUAUACUUUGCAAUUUGAUAAAAUGAAGUUUGGUGGGGGGGGUGAGGAGAUUUUUUCGGUGGCUUUCAUAUUAAAAGCGGAAUCCAAGGAAAUCAGUUUGUCUCACAAUUUUUAAGAUUCACUAUGCUUUUCCUGAGGAGACUCAGGUGUCUGUAAAGGUCAUGUGAGGAAGAUGAAAACUAGGCCUUAUGAGGCCUGCCUUGCUUCAGUGAUGCCUCAAGCACUUAAACCUGGUGUAGAAGUACUACGUGGUGUAAAUGACACAUAGGACUCCCCGCAGUAAACGAAUUUUAACCUAUAUCAUAAGAUACCCAAAGCGAUGUCUUGUAAUGCAUAUCAUACACUCUAAAAAUAGAACAAAGUGGUUAAAUUUGGGCCUUUUGUGACUUCAAUUAAAUAUGUAAGAAUAAAAAAAAGUCUCAGGUA